AUGGGUGUGCUAUCGCGGAAGGUCCUGCCGACUUGCGGGGCCCUGUGCUACUUCUACCCUGGGCUCAGGGCACGGUCCAGGCAACCCGUUAAGCGGUACAAGAAGAUCCUUGCCGAAAUCUUCCCCAGAACACAGGACGAAGAACCAAAUGAUAGGAGGAUCGGGAAGCUGUGCGAGUACGCCGCCAAGAACCCUCUUAGAGUGCCCAAGAUCACAGUUUACUUGGAGCAAAGGAUUUACAAGGAAUUAAGAGCCGAGCAGUAUGGUUUUGCAAAAGUGGUGAUGCUGAUACACCGCGGACUGCUGGUGUCUUGCAAAGGACAAAUAGCACACUGUUCUGCGCUCCGAGCAAGCGCCACUGAUGCUACAAUAUAUCAAAGUUCUGAAAUUGUGAGCAUUCAUAUACAGUCUUUGGAUCAAACAACAAAGGCAGCACACAUAAUUACAAGGGGCUGGUUCCCAAGGGGCAGGAUUGCAGUCCUUCAGAUCUGCUGGGAAGAAGGUGGCUUUCGGAAUGGGCCUUACUCUCUGGUUUUUCCUUCCACGACAACAUGGUGUACGAGUCGGCAUGAGCUGUGUAAGGUACUGAUGAUCUCUGAUGUGAGAUACUCAUGUGAUUAUAAUGUCGCUGCCUCCCUUUGCAAGCAUACCAAUGUGCGUUGA
rnacentral:rRNA from 1 species